rnacentral:tRNA from 1 species
GCCUCUAUGGCGCAGUAGGCAGCGCGUGAGUCUCAUAAUCUUAAGGUCGUGAGUUCGAUCCUCACUCGGGGCA